rnacentral:rRNA from 1 species
GAUGAACGCUGGCGGCGUGCUUAACACAUGCAAGUCGAACGGAAAGGCCCAAGCUUGCUUGGGUACUCGAGUGGCGAACGGGUGAGUAACACGUGGGUGAUCUGCCCUGCACUUCGGGAUAAGCCUGGGAAACUGGGUCUAAUACCGGAUAGGACGAUGGUUUGGAUGCCAUUGUGGAAAGUUUUUUCGGUGUGGGAUGAGCUCGCGGCCUAUCAGCUUGUUGGUGGGGUAAUGGCCUACCAAGGCGUCGACGGGUAGCCGGCCUGAGAGGGUGUACGGCCACAUUGGGACUGAGAUACGGCCCAGACUCCUACGGGAGGCAGCAGUGGGGAAUAUUGCACAAUGGGCGCAAGCCUGAUGCAGCGACGCGUGGGGGAUGACGGCCUUCGGGUUGUAAACUCCUUUCGCUAGGGACGAAGCGUUUUUGUGACGGUACCUGGAGAAGAAGCACCGGCUAACUACGUG